UAGAUGACAGCGCUUCUGCUGCAAGUAGCAUGGAGGUGACAGACCGCAUUGCUUCACUGGAGCAGAGAGUCCAGAUGCAAGAAGACGAUAUCCAGCUGCUCAAAUCAGCUCUAGCUGAUGUGGUUCGGCGGCUAAACAUUACUGAGGAACAGCAGGCUGUGCUUAACAGGAAAGGACCUACCAAAGCAAGACCACUGAUGCAGACCCUGCCUUUAAGAACCACUGUCAACAAUGGCACUGUGUUACCAAAGAAACCUACUGGCUCUCUACCAUCCCCCUCUGGGGUCAGGAAAGAAACUGCUGUGCCAGCAACCAAAAGUAACAUCAAGAGGACCAGCUCUUCUGAACGAGUGUCUCCGGGAGGUCGAAGGGAAAGCAAUGGGGAUUCCAGAGGAAACCGGAAUCGCACAGGCUCCACCAGCAGCUCUUCCAGUGGCAAAAAGAACAGUGAAAGAACAUCUGGGCCGGGUGUGGUGGCCCACUCCUGUAAUCCUAGCACUUCAGCAGGCCAAGGCGGGUGGAUCGUUUGAGCCUGGGAGUUCAAGACCAGCCUGGACAACAUGGCAAGACCCCAUCUCUACAAGAAUUAUAAAAAUUAGCUGGGCAUGUUGGCGCAUACCUGUAGUCCCACCUGCUUGAGAAGCUGAGAUGGGAGGAUUGCUCAAGGUUGGGAGGUUGUGACUACAGUGAGCCGUGAUCACACCACUGUACUCCUGACUGGGCAAUGGGAAUGAGACGCUUUCUAAAAAAAAAAAAAAAAAAA
rnacentral:sRNA from 1 species